UAAAUCAAUGAGGGACAAUUUGUGUCUCUUAGCUUGGAAGAACAUGGAGGCAUAGCGAAUGGGCUAGUCAUCGUUUCAGUCGUCGUUGUUAGUUAGGCGGUCUGAUUGUUUCUCGUCUAUAU